AUUGUAGGCUGCAACUCGCCUACAUGAAGUCGGAAUCGCUAGUAAUCGCGGAUCAGCAUGCCGCGGUGAAUACGUUCCCGGGCCUUGUACACACCGCCCGUCACACCAUGAGAGUUUGUAACACCCAAAGCCGGUGGGUAACCUUUUGGAGCCAGCCGUCUAAGGUGGGACAGAUGAUUGGGGUGAAGUCGUAACAAGGUACC
rnacentral:rRNA from 1 species